rnacentral:rRNA from 1 species
UACGUAGGGGGCAAGCGUUGUCCGGAUUUACUGGGCGUAAAGCGCACGUAGGCGGCUUGGUAUGUCGGGUGUGAAAUCCCCGGGCUCAACCUGGGAACUGCAUCCGAAACUGCCUUGCUAGAGUAUGGGAGAGGGAAGUGGAAUUUCCGGUGUAGCGGUGAAAUGCGUAGAUAUCGGAAGGAACAUCAGUGGCGAAGGCGACUUCCUGGACCAAUACUGACGCUCAGGUGCGAAAGCGUGGGGAGCAAACAGG